GCUGUCUAAAAGUAGAUGUGUCAGGAACAGAAAACAGGAGGCAACCAUCAGCAGUGCGUAUGUCACAGAGCGGCAUAGUUUCGAGUCAUCGACACGCCGAUUAAAGGACGCCAAAAACGUCGUGAUCUCACGGUGCGGCAUAUAGUUUUGAGAUAGCAAUACGCAGAUUAACGGGUGUCAAAAACGUCGUGGUCUCAUGGUGCGGCAUAUAGUUUCGAGAUAGCGACACACAGAUUAAUGGGCAUCAAAAACGUCGUGGUCUCACCGUGCGGCAUAUAGUUUCGAGAUAGCGACACGCCGAUUAACGGGCGUCAAAAACGUCGUGGUCUCACGGUGCGGCAUAUAGUUUCGAGAUAGCGACACGCCGAUUAACGGGCGUCAAAAACGUCGUGGUCUCACGGUGCGGCAUAUAGUUUUGAGAUAGUGACACGCCGAUUAACGGGUGUCAAAAACGUCGUGGUCUCAUCGUGCGGCAUAUAGUUUCGAGAUAGUGACACAUAGAUUAACGGGUGUCAAAAAUGUCGUGGUCUCACCGUGUGGCAUAUAAUUUCGAGAUAGCGACACACAGAUUAACGGGUGUCAAAAACCUCGUGGUCUCACAGUGCGGCAUAUAGUUUCGAGAUAGCGACACGCAGAUUAACGGGCGUCAAAAAUGUUGUGGUCUCACGGUGCGGCAUAUAGU